UACGGGGGGGGCAAGCGUUGUUCGGAAUUACUGGGCGUAAAGGGUUCGUAGGUGGCCAACUCAGUCAGACGUGAAAUCCCUCAGCUCAACUGGGGAACUGCGUCUGAUACUAGAUGGCUCGAGUGCAGGAGAGGAACGCGGAAUUCCAGGUGUAGCGGUGAAAUGCGUAGAUAUCGUGAGGAACACCAGAGGCGAAGGCGGCUACCUGGACAAUUGCUGACGCUCAGGCACGAAAGCGUGGGGAGCAAAAGGG
rnacentral:rRNA from 1 species